GACGAACGCUGGCGGCGCGCCUAAUACAUGCAAGUCGAACGAGAAGCCGGGAGCUUGCUCCCGGUGGAAGGUGGCGAACGGGUGAGGAAUACGUGAGGAACCUGCCCCGGAGACCGGGAUAACACCGGGAAACCGGUGCUAAUACCGGAUGCCCUCACCGGACCGCAUGAUCCGGUGAGGAAAUGGAUUCCGCUCCAGGAUGGUCUCGCGGCCUAUCAGCUUGUUGGUGGGGUAACGGCUCACCAAGGCUUCGACGGGUAGCUGGUCUGAGAGGAUGUCCAGCCACACUGGGACUGAGACACGGCCCAGACUCCUACGGGAGGCAGCAGUAGGGAAUCUUGCGCAAUGAGCGAAAGCUUGACGCAGCGACGCCGCGUGCGGGAUGAAGGCCCUCGGGUCGUAAACCGCUUUCAGCAGGGACGAAAUUGACGGUACCUGCAGAAGAAGCCCCGGCCAACUACGCGCCAGCAGCCGCGGUAA
rnacentral:rRNA from 1 species